rnacentral:lncRNA from 1 species
UCGUGGAUAUGGAUCAAAGAUCAAAUCAUAUAAAUCAUUGUAUCAUAUAUUUUUUUUUUCUACAUAUAAUUAUUUAUUAUUAUUUUAAAUUUCAUAAAUAAUCUUCUACAAAGGUGUAUCAUUCAUCGUAGGGACUCAUGUGUGUUGGGUUGGAUACCCCCUAUAAAAGCUGAAUGAGACACAAAGGCCGACUGGCGAUCAC